GCAUCGAUGAAGAACGCAGCGAAAUGCGAUAAGUAAUGUGAAUUGCAAAAUUCAGUGAAUCAUCGAAUCUUUGAACGCACAUUGCGCCCCCUGGCAUUCCGGGGGGCAUGCCUGUUCGAGCGUCAUUACACCACUCAAGCCUGGCUUGGUAUUGAGCGCCGCGGCCUGCCCGCGCGCUCCAAUGUCUCCGGCUGAGCCGUCCGUCUCUAAGCGUUGUGAAUAGCGAUCGCUUGCGAGGCCCGGGCGGUUCGACGCCGUUAAACCCCCCAUUUUCUAUGGUUGACCUCGGAUCAGGUAGGGAUACCCGCUGAACUUAAGCAUAUCAAUAAGCGGAGGA
rnacentral:rRNA from 1 species